rnacentral:piRNA from 1 species
UGUGAGAAGCAAAAAAGAGAUCUGCCC